CAGACUUAGGUUCGAAAAUCGUCGCAGAAAAAUUUUCACAAAUUUUUGGUGUAUUUUGUAAUAACUAUUCCCCGACAAAUUCUUCCAUAAACGAAAAUGAAGGCGUACAAUGAUAGAAAACAAGCCUAAUUCUGCAUCUGUGUUUAUAGGUGAAGAAAAUCCGCGCUCAUAUCAUUCUUGUUAAAUUACAACUUUCUAGCCUGAUCAAAGUUAGUGGGAAUGGAUAUAUCGAACACAGGACAAUUUUACAGAGUACAAGUUCAAGUCAAGUUUCGACAAGUCAGAAGCUAAGUGCCGAUUUCCCACUAGUCUACCGAAUCCAGAAGUCCACAGAAGAACGGCAAUGUUCCCUCAAGAUAACAGUCAACCCACGGGUCGCAAUCUUUAGGCAGAGAUAAGCGCGAGUUGUCAAUCUAAAGGUAUAACAAUAAAAUGAUUCAACAGAA